rnacentral:rRNA from 1 species
UACGAAGGUGGCAAGCGUUACUCGGAAUUACUAGGCGUAAAGGGCAGGUAGGUGGUUCGGUUAGUCUGUUGUGAAAGCUCCUUGCUUAACGGGGAGAGGUCAACAGAUACUGCCGGACUUGAGUAUAGGAGAGGGUACUGGAAUUCCCGGUGUAGCGGUGAAAUGCGCAGAGAUCGGGAGGAACACCAAUGGCGAAAGCAGGUACCUGGACUAUUACUGACACUCAGCUGCGAAAGCUAGGGGAGCAAACAGG